rnacentral:rRNA from 1 species
GACGAACGCUGGCGGCGUGCUUAACACAUGCAAGUCGAACGGAAAGGCCCUGCUUUUGUGGGGUGCUCGAGUGGCGAACGGGUGAGUAACACGUGAGUAACCUGCCCUUGACUUUGGGAUAACUUCAGGAAACUGGGGCUAAUACCGGAUAGGAGCUCCUGCUGCAUGGUGGGGGUUGGAAAGUUUCGGCGGUUGGGGAUGGACUCGCGGCUUAUCAGCUUGUUGGUGGGGUAGUGGCUUACCAAGGCUUUGACGGGUAGCCGGACUGAGAGGGUGACCGGCCACAUGGGGACUGAGAGACGGCCGAGGGUCUCACGGGGGGGAGAAGUGGGGAAUAAUGGACAGUGGGCGGAAGCGUGGUGAAGCAACGACGAGUGCGGGAUGACGGCAUUCGGGUAGUAACCAGGUUUCGCCUGUGACGAAGGGUGAGUGACGGAAAUGGGUAAAGAAGCAACGGCGAAAUGAGU